rnacentral:rRNA from 1 species
UACAGAGGGUGCAAGCGUUGUUCGGAAUUAUUGGGCGUAAAGGGCGCGUAGGCGGUGCCACAAGUCACCUGUGAAAUAUCCGGGCUUAACCUGGAGGGGUCAUUUGAAACUGGGUGACUAGAGUACAGCAGAGGAUAGCGGAAUUCCCGGUGUAGUGGUGAAAUGCGUAGAUAUCGGGAGGAACACCAGUGGCGAAGGCGGCUAUCUGGGCUGAAACUGACGCUGAGGCGCGAAGGCUAGGGGAGCAAACAGG